GUGGUCGAUAUGGCUCCUUCAUUUCGCAUUUUCAAGAGUGGCGGCGUCGAGCGCCUCAUAGGGACUGACUUCGUCCCAGCAUCCGUCGACCCCGCCACCGGCGUUGCCUCCAAGGACGUCAAAAUCGACCCAACGACCGGCGUCUCGGCUCGCCUCUACCUCCCCACCCUUCCCUCCCGAUCUUUCAAGCUCCCCAUCCUCGUCUACUA
rnacentral:misc_RNA from 1 species